UCUCGCUCAAUGCGGAGGAUUUGACACACCAAAUUCGACCUCGACCGAGUAAUGUUGCAUUCUUCUCAUAGGUCUCGAUCGCUCAGACUUUGUGCUAAAAGAUGAAGCUCGUUUAAUUCAAUUUCUGAUUCAACAACUGAAUAAUGAAUGACCACUGCCAUAUUGUGAGAUUGAAUUUAGAUGGGGAUAAAAGGUCCUUUUGAUGCAAUUACCUUGUUGAUGAUGGCCGUGGAAAGCAAGUCUUCAUAGGAUUGAGAGUAGUACAUCUCUUUGUCAUUGGGUAGAUCACGAAUCAAGAAGUCGGAUUCAUUUUCCUACGGACAAACAAACUCGUAUUACACCAAUCCAAUAAUCGAGUUCUCACCCAAAACGUAUCUCACCCAAAUCAGCUCGUUUUCAUCCACGUCCAUAAUGAGGCGCUCGAUCCAAAACUUUAAUUUUAUAUGGGCUGUGGUGGGCGUGGGGUCUUCGGCUUUCACUGGCAUUUCAACAUGACAACUCAUCUCCCGGGAAAAAUGCUGAGAAGAGAGAGGGGAAAACGCCAUAAAUCUUGGAGCAUGGCGAGAGGAAAGAAGAGGCCAAAAAAAUACCGAUUUCAAGUGACUCUCUUCUUCGGAGGAGGAAGGUAAAGCAUGUCUUUAGGGCUGCCAUAAAUUUGGGUGUCUUCUUCGUUUUCCAAUGAGGAUGUCGCAACCAUACCAAAGGCUCGCUCAAGCGUGGUUUCGAAUUGUCCUACUUACUUUCAAUCACCAUUUGAAUGGCUUGAGUUAGCAAUGAUAAGGAAUCACUCAACGACGAAUGGUAAUCCUCAAAUAGGCGUUUAUCUGAAACAAAGCACAAAAACCGA